GUCGAAGGCGGGACGGAUAACUGGGGUGAAGUCGUAACAAGGUAGCCGUAUCGGAAGGUGCGGCUGGAUCACCUCCUUUCUAAGG
rnacentral:rRNA from 1 species